ensembl:lncRNA
UGCUGCUUUCCCCACUGGUUUCUUCGUGCUCUGGCUGUGGAUUUGCUCUGUUCCCCAUCCUUUUCUUUUAUCCCAUUCCCAUACUCUAGAUAAAGAAUAUACAGACUUGUCCUUUUCUUUUUUUUAUUAAAACAUUAUUUAUGGCUGCGCUAGGUCUUCGUUGCACUUGGGCUUUCUCUAGUGAUGGCAAGUGGGGCUACUCUUGUCGCAGAGCACAGGCUCCAGGCACAAGGGCUUCAGUAGGGGCCCUUCAGAAUGUGGGAUCUUCCUGGACCAGGGAUCGAACCCGUGUCCCCUGCACUGGCAGGUGGAUUCUUAACCACUGGGCCACCAAGGAAGCCCAGAUAUGUUUCCUUCAUAGUACAGUCUUCACAAGGAAAUGGUAUUUGAGACCAGUCCUGUCCGUUUCCGUCAUUUGGUUUAACGUGAAGGCGCUCCAUGUUACUGGGACUCGCCUUACCCAUCUGGUCUGUCCGGCUCCAACUCUCAACACACAGCCAGCACAGAAUUAAAAACCAAGCAAAGCUGAUUUUGAUCACUGAACUUUGAUUUUGUAAGACGUUAACCUUAGACAUUGACAAAUUCUCCAUACCAUUUUGACAACUUUUCUUUGAAGUCUAUAAAGUUUUUUAAAAAUAAAACAUUUUGGAAAGUCA